AGGGCAGCCAAGUCGUGAGGCGGAGCUAAUCCCUUUAAAGCCAUUCUCAGUUCGGAUUGUAGGCUGAAACUCGCCUACAUGAAGCUGGAGUUACUAGUAAUCGCAGAUCAGAAUGCUGCGGUGAAUGCGUUCCCGGGUCUUGUACACACCGCCCGUCACACCACGGAAGUUGGGGGCGCCCGAAGCCACUUAGCUAACCCUUUUGGGAAGCGAGUGUCGAAGGUGAAAUCAAUAACUGGGGUGAAGUCGUAACAAGGUACC
rnacentral:rRNA from 1 species